UGCAUCCAAAAAGGUAGAGUGCUCAGUCGGAGCAUGCAUGUAGUUUCUUGUUAACUCUCGGCAACUUUGGACGCAUUUUAUGCAUUGGCUCCCACUCAAACAUGAGGUUUUCGGUGAAAAAGUGAAAUUAAACUAAAUAAGUUUGGAAUUAUAGUUUCCCUUGCUGUGAACCGAGUCAGUAUCCGAGAGUGGAGUUCCCAAUAUGGCUGUUGCUGAAGAAGCAAACGCAAAUAAUCAUUUGGACCGGCGUUACGUUGACAAAUGUCGGAAAAAAGAUGGCGAAAUGUGCCAUUCAACAUGAUACGAGAAAUUGACGGAUUUCUGUGUUGGCUUCAUUUGAAUUCUUUUAAUAAAUCGUUGUUAUUCCGAGGCAGCAAAUUCCAUGCGGAUUCAGUCAUUUUACUGGUUUGAAAUAUCUGUAAGUGCAUCAGACAGCAGCAGGAAAAAGUAAAUACGUCACAAUCGAUUCAAUGCUGAAAAUUGCUGAAAGCCGUGACAAUUUGGAAGUACACAAGCUUGACUACAAUUCAACAUUGAGUGAGUGAGUACUUAGCACACAACAUCAACGCGAGGAUAAUGCGAUUGCAUAUUUCCACUAGCGGAAAAUGUAAGACAGAAGGUUGGCAAGGACACGAAAUACCCUUAAGUUACUCACGAGCAGAAUUUUCUAACACAGGGAACUUCAAGAUUUAGCUUAUAAGUAAGAUAGGAGAUGAAUGUAGACAUCAUUGAUAUUAGUUAGAUUGAUAGCCAGAUUUCAAGGAAUCAAAUUUUGGACUAGUUGAGAUAACACAAAAUUCUGGUCGCAUUUCGUUAGAGUCAUGUAGAUAUAAUUUAGGUAAUUCAGAUUGGUACUUGCAAAAAUUCUAAAGACAAGUCUCAACUCUUCCUUUGCCACGGAAUAGCCGUCUCCAAACGUCUCUAAAACGUUAAAUACUUAAAAAAAAGGUUGAAUGAAACAAAUUUCAAGUUCAUAUAAUGCAUCUAAAUGCAUACAACUUUAUCAGCACUA